rnacentral:lncRNA from 1 species
GCGGCUGAGACCAGGGAGGAGGCGUGGGCACGGGACGCCUGAGGGGUUCAGCUCAGACGAGGUCGUGGGGCCAAGAGAGGAGUUUGGUGACAGUCCCAAGUUUGGGCUGCGGAGAAUCGCUGUUUCUCCACGCCCACUCACAACCUGCACUGGAAGUGUCUGAGGAUGAAGGUGUUCGUCUGCUGCGCCUCCAAAGACUUUGAGGGAGAGAACCCUCAGGUGCCCAAGCUUGAGAAGAGCAUCAGCGGGACCAGCCCCAAACGGGAACACCUGCCCCUGGCCGUGGGCAUCGCCUUCUUCCUCAUGACGUUCUUGGCCUCCUAGCUCUGCCCCCUCCCCUGGGGGGGGAGAGAUGGGGCGGGGCUUGGAAGGAGCAGGGAGCCUUUGGCCUCUCCAAGGGAAGCCUAGUGGGCCUAGACCCCUCCUCCCAUGGCUAGAAGUGGGGCCUGCACCAUACAUCUGUGUCCGCCCCCUCUACCCCUUCCCCCCACGUAGGGCACUGUAGUGGACCAAGCACGGGGACAGCCAUGGGUCCCGGGCGGCCUUGUGGCUCUGGUAAUGUUUGGUACCAAACUUGGGGGCCAAAAAGGGCAGUGCUCAGGACUCCCUGGCCCCUGGUACCUUUCCCUGACUCCUGGUGCCCUCUCCCUUUGUCCCCCCAGAGAGACAUAUGCCCCCAGAGAGAGCAAAUCGAAGCGUGGGAGGCACCCCCAUUGCUCUCCUCCAGGGGCAGAACAUGGGGAGGGGACUAGAUGGGCAAGGG